rnacentral:rRNA from 1 species
AGCGAACGCUGGCGGCAGGCUUAACACAUGCAAGUCGAACGGUCCUUCGGGAUAGUGGCGGACGGGUGAGUAACACGUGGGAACGUACCCUUAGGUUCGGAACAACACAGGGAAACUUGUGCUAAUACCGGAUGAGCCCUUCGGGGGAAAGAUUUAUCGCCUUUGGAGCGGCCCGCGUCUGAUUAGCUUGUUGGUGCGGUAAUGGCUCACCAAGGCUACGAUCAGUAGCUGGUCUGAGAGGAUGGCCAGCCACACUGGGACUGAGACACGGCCCAGACUCCUACGGGAGGCAGCAGUGGGGAAUCUUGCGCAAUGGGCGAAAGCCUGACGCAGCCAUGCCGCGUGGAUGAUGAAGGUCUUAGGAUUGUAAAAUCCUUUCACCGGGGACGAUAAUGACGGUACCCGGAGAAGAAGCCCCGGCUAACUUCGUGCCAGCAGCAGCCGCCG